UUUUGAUGUUAUAUUUGUUAUUCUCGUGGGAUUUUGUCUGAUGCUUGGUCCGUUUCUGUGUGUGUUAGUUACAUUGUAGUGUUGUGUCGUUGUUCUCUUCUUAUAUUUAUGCGUUUCCGUCAGUUUUAGUUUGUUACCCCGAUUUUGUUUUUUGUCCAUGGAUUUAUGAGUUUGAACAGCGGUAUAUGACUGUUGCCUUUAUU
rnacentral:lncRNA from 1 species